AGGAAACUAGAGUCUGGAUAUUCUGCUGAUACUUUAGAUACUAAUUCUGAGAGUUGAGCUUUUGUUGCUUCAAUACCAGCUGCACCUAGGUUUUGUCUUCCAAGAGUCUCUUGUGCUUUCUCCAGAAUCGAUUGCAAGUACUUUCCUUGAGCCUCUAUCCUGAGCUGCAAAUGUCGCUGUACCUGGCUCAGUUUAAAAUAUUUUUAAUGAAAUCGUAACUAAAUGCUUUGUUCUCUCUGUUUCUAUAUACUUCUUCUAGCCUCUAUACCUAUGAUUUUCGCUGAUCUAUGUGUUUCUACAUGUUUGAGUAUAAUUUGUAAAUUGUUCCUAUUCAAAGAUAAAUGAACAACACAUAUUUAUGAGA